rnacentral:misc_RNA from 1 species
CUAAGAGCAACAAUCUGAGGAAAAGGAAAUAAGAAUAAGAUGAUUCCAUCAAUUUAGACAAAAAAAAUGUAAGAUGAAUUUUACGAAAAACAAUAAGAUAAUUAUUCUACAAACUCAAGAAAGAAGCAUUAAGACCAUAUUCCACACGCAUUCAGACAAUAUUUGGAGUACUCCUGGAAAUUUCUGUGUUAUGAGUUAUCUCAUUCAUAAUUAGGCAUUCAA